GCGGAAGUGGCUCAGUGGUAGAGCAUCUCCUUGCCAAGGAGAGGGUCGCCGGUUCGAAUCCGGUCUUCCGCUCCA
rnacentral:tRNA from 1 species